rnacentral:rRNA from 1 species
GAUGAACGCUGGCGGCGUGCUUAACACAUGCAAGUCGAACGGGAAACCUUUUAAUGAAGCUUCGGCAGAUUUAGCUGGCUUCUAGUUGCGGACUGGUGAGUAACCCGUGGGUAACCUGCCUUAUACUGGGGGAUAACAGUCAGAAAUGACUGCUAAUACCGCAUAAGCGCACAGGACCGCAUGGUCCGGUGUGAAAAACUCCGGUGGGAUAAGAUGGACCCGCGUUGGAUUAGCUUGUUGGUGGGGUAACGGCUCACCAAGGCGACGAUGCAUAGCCGGCAUGAGAGGGUGAACGGCCACAUUGGGACUGAGACACGGCCCAGACUCCUACGGGAGGCAGGAGUGGGGAAUAUUGCACAAUGGGGGAAAACCUGAUGGAGCGACGCCGCGUGAAGGAAGAAGUAGCUGGGUAUGUAAACUUCUAUAAGAAGGGAAGAUAGUGACGGUACCUGACUAAGAAGCACCGGCUAACUACGUG